rnacentral:autocatalytically_spliced_intron from 1 species
UUGCGGGUGAGAGUCCCGUCGUAGAAAGGGGUUAGCCAGACCACUACGUAGCGAGUCUUGCGUUUCCGGCGGUAACAAAGGAGACGAAGCGUAGACAGCGAAACAUUCGAGCCGAAACCACAGGGUGAACGUGA